GCCGUCAGGGUCCACCGCCCGCAGGUGCGAGGGCCCGGGGCUGCCGUGCCUCCGCGGCGCAGGAGCGCGUUCCUUGUGGAAUGAGUGUUCCCGAACUUCGGGACAGCGAGAAAAGAGCGGGCGGACAGGGGGGAAAGGUCAUAUUUUGUCACUGAUGUGUGUAUCAUUUCUUCUGGAACUGUCAGAUUUCAUCAUGACAAGAUGCAUCAGAUAAGAUGCACUUGAGCCACACACAGCUGAGCAACCAAGAGACAAGGAGCCCGACCAUGGAGUGACACACCAGCCUCAAGGAACAUACUCCGUUUUCAAGCUUCUGUGAUUUGCAGCUUCCAGUCACUUGUAACGGAACCUCAUCCUUAGGCCAGCACUAGAGAUUUUUCUGGUGCCGUGGAAUGUUAAGGGAAAGCAGACCCAGUGAUUCGCUGAAAAAAGGAAUUUGACCUAA